GCAUAUCAAUAAGCGGAGGAAAAGAAACCAACAGGGAUUGCCUCAGUAACGGCGAGUGAAGCGGCAACAGCUCAAAUUUGAAAUCUGGCCUCUUUGGGGUCCGAGUUGUAAUUUGUAGAGGAUGUUUCGGGUACCGCCUCGGUUUAAAUUUCUUGGAACAGAAUGUCAAAGAGGGUGAGAAUCCCGUCUUGGACCGGCGGUAGGGCCCAUGUGAAACUCCUUCGACGAGUCGAGUUGUUUGGGAAUGCAGCUCAAAAUGGGUGGUAAAUUUCAUCUAAAGCUAAAUAUUGGCCAGAGACCGAUAGCGCACAAGUAGAGUGAUCGAAAGAUGAAAAGCACUUUGAAAAGAGAGUUAAACAGUAUGUGAAAUUGUUGAAAGGGAAGCGCUUACAACCAGACUUGCGCGCGGCGGUUCCCCCUUCCUUUUGGUUGGGCUACUCCGUCGUGUCCAGGCCAACAUCGGUUCUGGGGGUCGGUUAAAGACCCUGGGAAUGUACCUACCCUUCGGGCGUAGACUUAUAGCCCAGGGUGUCAUGCGACCUCCCGGGACCGAGGAACGCGCUUCGGCUCGGAUGUUGGCGUAAUGGUUGUCAGCGACCCGUCUUGAAACACGGACCAAGGAGUCUAACAUCUAUGCGAGUGUUUGGGUGUCAAACCCGGAACGCGAAAUGAAAGUGAACGGAGGUGGGAAGCCGUGAGGCUGCACCAUCGACCGAUCCUGAUGUCUUCGGAUGGAUUUGAGUAAGAGCAUAGCUGUUGGGACCCGAAAGAUGGUGAACUAUGCCUGAAUAGGGUGAAGCCAGAGGAAAACUCUGGUGGAGGCUCGCAGCGGUUCUGACGUGCAAAUCGAUCGUCAAAUUUGGGGUAUAGGGGCGAAAGACUAAUCGAACCAUCUGGUAGCUGGUUCCUGCG
rnacentral:rRNA from 1 species